rnacentral:rRNA from 1 species
GGCCUACCAUGGUGGUAACGGGUAACGGGGUGUUAGGGCACGACACCGGAGAGGGAGCCUGAGAAACGGCUACCACAUCCAAGGAUGGCAGCAGGCGCGCAAAUUACCCAAUCCCGACACGGGGAGGUAGUGACAAUAAAUAACAAUACGGGGCUCUUUUGGGUCUCGUAAUUGGAAUGAGUACAAUUUAAAUCUCUUAACGAGGAACAAUUGGAGGGCAAGUCUGGUGCCAGCAGCCGCGGUAAUUCCAGCUCCAAUAGCAUAUAUUAAAGUUGUUGCAGUUAAAAAGCUCGUAGUUGAAUUUCGGGGUCAGUAGGUUGGUCGUGCCUAUGGUAUGUACUGGCUUUACUGAUUCCUCCUUCUUGAAGAACUGUAAUGUCAUUAAUUUGGUGUUGCAGGGAAACAGGACUGUUACUUUGAAAAAAUUAGAGUGUUUAAAGCAAGCUAACGCUUGAAUACAUUAGCAUGGAAUAAUGAAAUAGGACGUUCGAUCCUAUUUUGUUGGUUUCUAGGAUUGACGUAAUGAUUAAUAGGGAUAGUUGGGGGCAUUAGUAUUCAAUUGUCAGAGGUGAAAUUCUUGGAUUUAUUGAAGACUGACUACUGCGAAAGCAUUUGCCAAGGAUGUUUUCAUUAAUCAAGAACGAAAGUUAGGGGAUCGAAGACGAUCAGAUACCGUCGUAGUCUUAACCAUAACUAUGCCGACUAGGGAUCGGAUGAUGUUAUUUUUAUGACUCAUUCGCGCCUUACG